GGUUUGGCGCCGACCUACUCUUCCACAUUUUACUGCAGUACCAUCGGCUCUGGCGGGCUUGACUUCUCUGUUCGGAAUGGGAA
rnacentral:rRNA from 1 species